GGCGGACGGGUGAGUAAUACUUAGGAAUCUGCCUAUUAAUGGGGGACAACAUCUCGAAAGGGAUGCUAAUACCGCAUACGCCCUACGGGGGAAAGCAGGGGAUCACUUGUGACCUUGCGUUAAUAGAUGAGCCUAAGUCGGAUUAGCUAGUUGGUGGGGUAAAGGCCUACCAAGGCGACGAUCUGUAGCGGGUCUGAGAGGAUGAUCCGCCACACUGGGACUGAGACACGGCCCASACUCCUACGGGAGGCAGCAGUGGGGAAUAUUGGACAAUGGGGGGAACCCUGAUCCAGCCRUGCCGCGUGUGUGAAGAAGGACUUAUGGUUGUAAAGCACUUUAAGCGAGGAGGAGGCUCCUGUAGUUAAUACCUACAGUGAGUGGACGUUACUCGCAGAAUAAGCACCGGAUAAAUCUGUGCCAGCAGCCGCGGUAAUACAGAGGGUGCGAGCGUUAAUCGGAUUUACUGGGCGUAAAGCGUGCGUAGGCGGCUUUUUAAGUCGGAUGUGAAAUCCCCGAGCUUAACUUGGGAAUUGCAUUCRAUACUGGGAAGCUAGAGUAUGGGAGAGGAUGGUAGAAUUCCAGGUGUAGCGGUGAAAUGCGUAGAGAUCUGGAGGAAUACCGAUGGCGAAGGCAGCCAUCUGGCCUAAUACUGACGCUGAGGUACGAAAGCAUGGGGAGCAAACAGGAUUAGAUACCCUGGUAGUCCAUGCCGUAAACGAUGUCUACUAGCCGUUGGGGCCUUUGASGCUUUAGUGGCGCAGCUAACGCGAUAAGUASACCGCC
rnacentral:rRNA from 1 species